rnacentral:rRNA from 1 species
CAGCGCCACGAGUGGCAACCAUGAUUAUUGGGCCUAAAGCAUCCGUAGCCGGCGCUGUAAGUUUUCGGUUAAAUCUGUACGCUCAACGUACAGGCUGCCGGGAAUACUGCAGCGCUAGGGAGUGGGAGAGGUAGACGGUACUCGGUAGGAAGGGGUAAAAUCCUUUGAUCUAUUGAUGACCACCUGUGGCGAAGGCGGUCUACCAGAACACGUCCGACGGUGAGGGAUGAAAGCUGGGGGAGCAAACCGGAUUAGAUACCCGAGUAGUCC